UACGAAGGGGGCUAGCGUUGCUCGGAAUCACUGGGCGUAAAGGGUGCGUAGGCGGGUCUUUAAGUCAGGGGUGAAAUCCUGGAGCUCAACUCCAGAACUGCCUUUGAUACUGAGGAUCUUGAGUUCGGGAGAGGUGAGUGGAACUGCGAGUGUAGAGGUGAAAUUCGUAGAUAUUACGCAAGAACACCAGUGGCGAAGGCGGCUCACUGGCCCGAUACUGACGCUGAGGCACGGAAAAGCGAUGGG
rnacentral:rRNA from 1 species